rnacentral:lncRNA from 1 species
AGGGUUGGAGAUUCAAUUGGGUUUAAUUGAUUUGCUUGUGAUGUAUUGAUGCACUUUAUCCGAUUCAAUUGUUUGAUAUUCGAUUUAGCAAUUGAUCACUGCUUGAUUGUGUUUGCAACGUGUGAGAUCGAGAGAAGAACUCGUUGCUUGACCGUGGUUGAAUUGGAAUUAGACUUAAUCGGAAACGCGUAGUCUAAUAAUUGAUGAAUUCAUGUGAUUUAAUUAGCGUAGAC